rnacentral:rRNA from 1 species
AGGAUGAACGCUGGCGGCGUGCCUAACACAUGCAAGUCGAACGUCCUGUCUCGCAAGAGGCAGGGAGUGGCGGACGGGUGAGUACCACGUGGGUUAUCUACCGUGAGGUGAGGAAUACCGGCGAGAAAUCGCCGACAAGACCGCAUAGCCUCGGUGCAAGCCGAGGAAAGCUUUCUCGAGAGAGGGAGCGCCACACGAGGAGCCUGCGCCCGAUUAGCUAGCUGGUGGAGUAACGGUUCACCAGGGCGACGAUCGGUAGCUGGUCUGAGAGGACGAUCAGCCACACUGGGAUUGAGAACGGCCCAGACUCCUACGGGGGGCAGCAGUGAGGAAUUUUCGUCAAUGGGGCAACCCUGAACGAGCAACGCCGCGUGCAGGAAGAAGGUUUUCGGAUCGUAAACUGCUUUUCUCGGGGAAGAGAACGGACGGUACCCGAGGAAUCAGCCCCGGCUAACUACGUGCCAGCAGCCGCGGUAA